rnacentral:rRNA from 1 species
GAUGAACGCUAGCGGGAGGCCUAACACAUGCAAGUCGAGGGGCAGCACGUCUUCGGAUGGUGGCGACCGGCGCACGGGUGCGUAACGCGUAUGUAACUUGCCCAUAACUGGAGAAUAGCCCAAAGAAAUUUGGAUUAAUGCUCCAUAGUAUUAUGAAACCGCAUGGUUUUAUAAUUAAAGCUCCGGCGGUUAUGGAUAGACAUGCGUCCCAUUAGCUAGUUGGUGAGGUAACGGCUCACCAAGGCUACGAUGGGUAGGGGGCCUGAGAGGGUGAACCCCCACACUGGUACUGAGACACGGACCAGACUCCUACGGGAGGCAGCAGUGAGGAAUAUUGGUCAAUGGGCGAGAGCCUGAACCAGCCAUGCCGCGUGCAGGAUGAAGGCCCUCUGGGUUGUAAACUGCUUUUAUCUGGGAAGAAAAAAUACUACGUGUAGUAUAUUGACGGUACCGUAAGAAUAAGGAAUCGGCGUAACUCCGUG